AAAGACAUUUACCCUGGAUGGUGAGCCACCUUAGUGCACCCACUUUGGGGUAUCUGCUCUUGUUCCCUAAGGCAGGGCUCCUGGAACUGAUGUAUUUGUACCACAUGAGAAUGUCUCACCGUCCCCUAAGAUGACUGGAAGAGGACCCUAACCUGAGCUAGUUCAAUCACUGUCUUUCUCCCAGGAAUCUGGAAGUUGCUGGAACAAGACAUAUAAACCUGAAGGCUGGAGUAGUGGUGGCCAUACUCUGCCACAUGGGCCAGAGAAGUACAGUAAAAUAACAUUCAGAAAGAACAAAGAGUGAAGCAGACACACACGGAGCUGCAGAGCUGAGAGGAGAAAUAACUCCUCCUCAUUUCUUGGUUACAGUCCUUCCUGAGGUGUCACGGCAUUAUCCCUUUGGAUCGAGACAUUUUUGUGUUCCUAUAAAAGGCUCCCUAUCAGUGCACAUAAUCCGUAAGGAGUGUUGAAACAUCACUGGAAAUGUAAUUAGAUGGAGAAAAUUCUGAUCACCUGAACUUCUCUAAGAGACUAUUACACAUAGUUGGAAGCAAUAGUUUGAUUAGCCAGUUAGGGGGAGACUCUAUUAAAGGGUUUACUUAAUACUGUCCCAUCAAGCUGUUGAUAAGACUUGUAAGAGGAAAAGGGAUGAGGGUGUCCGCUUAACUGCAGGGUUUUUGUUUUCUCCAGUGGGUAUGAACCUCAGGGGGGCGAGAAGUUGAGUUGCUUUGGACAAGAGGGCAGAGACUGAGUACUCUUCAGCCAUCCCCUAUGCAGAGAUCAGCUUUUCUACUGAGAACAGUUGAAGAAAUAGUCCAAGAAUACUCAAAGAAAACGUUUGAUAAGAUGCCAAAUUGUUCUAUAAGACAGGGCCGGUGGGAAGUCAGAAGAAACUAUGUAGCUUCCUAAACAUGAAAGAUGAGAGAGGCACAAGGAGCUAGAGACCAAGGCAGAUGCUGAAACUCAGGAGGCUGGUCAUUGAGGAUGCAGCGAAAGAGUGCAAGGU